rnacentral:rRNA from 1 species
AUUGAACGCUGGCGGCAGGCCUAACACAUGCAAGUCGAACGGUAAUAGGAAACAGCUUGCUGUUUCGCUGACGAGUGGCGGACGGGUGAGUAAUGUCUGGGAAACUGCCUGAUGGAGGGGGAUAACUACUGGAAACGGUAGCUAAUACCGCAUAACGUCGCAAGACCAAAGAGGGGGACCCUCGGGCCUCUUGCCAUCGGAUGUGCCCAGAUGGGAUUAGCUUGUUGGUGGGGUAACGGCUCACCAAGGCGACGAUCCCUAGCUGGUCUGAGAGGAUGACCAGCCACACUGGAACUGAGACACGGUCCAGACUCCUACGGGAGGCAGCAGUGGGGAAUAUUGCACAAUGGGCGCAAGCCUGAUGCAGCCAUGCCGCGUGUAUGAAGAAGGCCUUCGGGUUGUAAAGUACUUUCAGCGGGGAGGAAGGGAGUAAAGUUAAUACCUUUGCUCAUUGACGUUACCCGCAGAAGAAGCACCGGCUAACUCCGUG